GAUGAACGCUGGCGGCGUGCCUAAUACAUGCAAGUCGAGCGAACAGACGAGGAGCUUGCUCCUCUGACGUUAGCGGCGGACGGGUGAGUAACACGUGGAUAACCUACCUAUAAGACUGGGAUAACUUCGGGAAACCGGAGCUAAUAGCGGAUAAUAUAUUGAACCGCAUGGUUCAAUAGUGAAAGACGGUGUUGCUGUCACGUAUAGAUGGAUCCGCGCCGCAUUAGCUAGUUGGUAAGGUAACGGCUUACCAAGGCAACGAUGCGUAGCCGACCUGAGAGGGUGAUCGGCCACACUGGAACUGAGACACGGUCCAGACUCCUACGGGAGGCAGCAGUAGGGAAUCUUCCGCAAUGGGCGAAAGCCUGACGGAGCAACGCGGCGUGAGUGAUGAAGGUCUUCGGAUCGUAAAACUCUGUUAUUAGGGAAGAACAAAUGUGUAAGUAACUAUGCACGUCUUGACGGUACCUAAUCAGAAAGCCACGGCUAACUACGUG
rnacentral:rRNA from 1 species